GAUGAACGCUAGCUACAGGCUUAACACAUGCAAGUCGAGGGGAAACGACAUCGAAAGCUUGCUUUUGAUGGGCGUCGACCGGCGCACGGGUGAGUAACGCGUAUCCAACCUGCCCAUCACUUGGGAAUAACCUUGCGAAAGUAAGACUAAUACCCAAUGACAUCCCACGAAGACAUCUGAAUGGGAUUAAAGAUUUAUCGGUGAUGGAUGGGGAUGCGUCUGAUUAGCUUGUUGGCGGGGUAACGGCCCACCAAGGCAACGAUCAGUAGGGGUUCUGAGAGGAAGGUCCCCCACAUUGGAACUGAGACACGGUCCAAACUCCUACGGGAGGCAGCAGUGAGGAAGAUUGGUCAAUGGGCGAGAGCCUGAACCAGCCAAGUAGCGUGCAGGAGGACGGCCCUAUGGGUGGUAAACUGCUUUUAUAAGGGAAUAAAGUGGGUCUCGGGAGACUUUUUGCAUGUACCUUAUGAAUAAGGACCGGCUAAUUCCGUG
rnacentral:rRNA from 1 species